rnacentral:lncRNA from 1 species
GGGGUUUGAGAUUGAUUGUAGUAAACUAAUAAUGAGAAAAAUAAUGGAAAGCAAAUAAUUAAAUAAAAAAUAAUCAAUAAUGAGAAAACUCUGAAGUAUUGGAUCCACUUUAGUUGUUGGGAUUGAUCACAGACACUUUGUUCUUUUGGGUUGAUUCAAUAGAUUAGUUAUGGAGAUGGAAGACGCUUCUCACCACCAUUAUCUCUCCUUAUUAUUAAAUUAAUUAGGAAACGUCCUCUAAUUAAUUACUAAUUAACAAAUUGCCAAGGAACGUCCUUGGGCCUUAGGCAUCAAAACAAUUGUCAAUUGCAUUAAGAAAUAGAGAGAUCCAAUCCUAACUACCCAAACGUAUGGAGAUAACGCUAGAUCAUGCGAUUUCCUUGGGUUUUAUCCCAAGUGUUCUCAUGUAAGAAUAAUCUAAGCAAUUACAGACUUAAAUUAUUCAAACUAAAAAAUAAUUAUUUUGCAAUAAAAAAUCGACGUAGAUCUCAAUAACAAAAUAAUAUGAAAAUUAAAUAUGAAAUUGCAUGAAUAUUAAACCCCCAAAAGUUAAACAAUAUUUGAUCAAGUUUCACAACCCAUUAAACAACUAAAGUUUCAACCAAUAUCCAACUAGAUUAAAGAAAUCAGCCACUCAUUGGCUGAAUUAAAAACAGAAAAAUAAAAUAAAAAAGAAAAAAAGAAAAGAAGAACCGAAUUCUUUCUUGCGGAAUCUGCCGAAUUGGAAUUGUAUGAUCAAUGUCUGGCCGCUUAAAGCUCUUUAAAUAGAGCUGGAGAGAUGCACUAAUUUGGAAAUUGCUUUCACGUGAGUUGCUAUCCCAUGUGCGGUCCACGGUAAAGUGAUGAAGCGCGGCCCAUGUUGCAAGUGAUUGUGCGUGAAGUGGGAGCGUGCCUUGGGCGGGCCCUUGUGCGUGGGUUGCUUUGCAAGAGUGGACUGCCACGUGUGGUGUGCUGGUCAUGUUGAAGUGGCUUUGGUCCACGGUGAAUGGAGAUUGCAAUGGCGGGCCCACGUGAGAAUUGCUGGCCAUGUUCGUGAAUGUGCAAGAGAAUUUGCGGGCCAUGUGAAGCGUCAGUGGUUCACGUGCUUAGUCUACGGUGGAGCGCGUUGGUCCCGUGUGUGAGCUUCGCAAGAGUGGGCUGCCCAAGUGCAGGCUUGGUCCACGUGAAGUGGGCUGUCCAUGUGCGGAAAUGGCGGGAAUGGGCUGUCCAGGUGCUUGUUUUGAAUCCAACUUGACAGACUUGCUCUCUUUUGUUCCAAAUAAGGCAGUUUUAGGGAAAUUUUCUCCAAAAUAUCCUUUUACACCAUUUUCUGCAAAAUAAUAUUAAAACCACUAACUUAAGCAAAAAUCAUGUAAAUAUUCAUUAAUAAUAUUAAUAUAAAAUGGACUAAAUUAUGCUCUAUCAAAUACCCCCACACUUAAUCUUUUGCUUGUCCUCAAGCAAAUAAACAUAGUCAAACAAGUUUUCUCACUCUAGAUCCUUAUUUCCACUUAAACUCUUACUCUAGACCCCUAUUUUGAGUCAUUGCAGUGCAGAAUAUAUGCAUGAAGAUUACUCACCUUCUUUCCUUGUUUCCCUUUGCUUACCAUGGUUAGGAUUUGUUUUACUCAAGAGAGAUCAUACAUGCACAUAUUAAUUGUUCAGAUAAGACUUUUUCUAGCUUUCAGAGUGACUUGCCCUUACCUUGAAGUACUUUAUUCAGCUUUUUGCACUUUUAAUUUUGCUUGAACAAGUCACCAACCUUUUGACGUGAAGGUACAUAUUUGUGAUACCCACCCCCAGUUACUCAGUUGGUCACCUAUCCAAGUGGCUACUAGCUCUGUUCAUAGUCUUUUGACCAUUGGAACAGUUUUCAAUUUGUGCUUUUGAAGUCUAAGCCUUUGUGAAUUUAUUUCUCUCAAUGAUUUGGGCAAAUCAACACCAAUUGCUAAAUCAAGUCAUGUUAAGUUUAUUCACACAACUUUCAAUUUAUUCUCUCUAAUGAGUGUCAUCAAUAUAUUUUUCACCAUGGCAAACUCAAAGAUUCAAUUCAAAAGGUAAUUCUCAAGCAUGAAUAUAACUCACUGCAAUUGAUUCAACAUAAGUUUAAAGAGUUAUCACAUCAAUGGGGUCAUGGAAAGAAAAGCUCAUCCAACAUAGUUUAUCAGUUUGAGUAAAGCAUUUCAAAAACGGAAACAAAAUAAAUAAAAAAAACUGUGGCUAUCUGUGUGUGUUAUUGAAAGCAAAAAUAAAUAAAAAAAAUUCAACUGAUGCAAGCAAACUAAAAAUCAGAGCAAAAAUAAACUCAAAAAGUAAAAAUUCAGAAAUAUGCACCUCCACACUUAAAUCAUGCAUUGUCCUCAAUGUCUAAGAAAUAUAAAAAAACAAAGGAAACCGAGUACUCCCCUGGGUGUGGUGUGCAUGGUGUGAUCCACUUGAUCAAGGCUUAAGUAAUUGGAGAAGGAAAAAGAGUCCCAACUGCAUUGAGCAAAAAGUGUAGCACUCCUUUUGAUUUGGUCAUAGCCCAUCCUAUUUUUUUCAUGUACUCAUGAAGUAGCAUGAUUAGCUUCUCCUCUUUCAGAUGAGGUGUGCCUCUAGCUCUUAUGUUUGCAUUUUUGAGAUGAUUGGGAAGCACUUUGAACUCCAAUUCAUGUUUCUCCAUGUGUAGCUGUAAUUUAGCAUUAAGUUCAGGUAAAACAAACUCUACCUUAUCCGGAGGUUUGGGAAGGCAUUGAUCCGCAUGGUCCUUUGGUUUAGGUGCUUGGAACACCAUUUGUUCCUUGUGAGCAAGGACUGUUCGCGUUGGAAGGCUGAAAGAAGUUUCAGAUUGCUCCUGCUGUACAAGAUUGGUCUGCAAUGGAAGGAUGGAAGGAGUUUCAUGUGAUGGAAGCUGAAGUGGUGCAACUGGAAGUGUUGCAGGACUGUCCUGCGCAAGGUUUUUGGCAGAACUGGAUCUAGGGGCCUCCUUCUGCGCAAGACCUAUUUGAAGGAGAGGAUUGGCCUGUGUUGGAAGCUGAAAAGGUGCGCCUGAAGGUGUUUCAGAUUGCGCAAGGUUCAUCUGCGAAUUCUCCUGAAGAGGUGCGACAUAGCUCUCUUCAGUCUGUGCUUGGCUGCAGUUCACCUGUUGGAUGCAACAGUUAGUUUCUUUCAAUUCUGGCUCUUUCUGGUUCUCUUCCCUGCAAAAAUCAUUGUUUAGCAUAUCAUCUUGAUCUACAUAAAAAUUUUCUUGGCUCAUAAAAUCAAUGAUAUCUAAACUUUCAGCAGGUUCUGUUUGACCAGUUUGUUGGGACAAACAGUUUUCUGGUUGGGUCUCUUUAGCAACUUGUUGUUGGACUUGCCAACUUUCAUCAUCAUCCCAUACAUCUUGAAGCUCUUCCUCUCUUCUUAACAUGGUUGCAUUCAAUAAUUUGUUCAAUUGAUCCUGUUGCUAUUGGAUACUUAGCAAAGUCUUCAUAAUCUCAUCAAGAUUGGAACUUUGAGGUUCUGGUUGGGCUUGAUAUCUUUGAUAAUCCUGGUAGUUGUUAGCCUCUGCAUAACUGAAGUCUGGAUAGUCUCUCCAACCUGGACUGUAUGUGUUAUAGUGUGGAUCAUGUCUUGACUGUUCAUAGAAUCCUUCAAAUGCAAGUGCUUGUUGGGCCAUUUGAUCUACUUCGUGUUGAAGAUGUUGCAAAGCCUUUAAUUUCUCAUAAAGAUCAGUAUUGAAACCUUGAGGUAUUGGUUGGGCUUGUUCAGCUUGGCCUAUAACAAAAAUUCUCACAGCAGAGAUUAGUUUAGAAAGUUGAGAACAGCGAACAGAUGUACUUACCUUAGCCAUGAUUCAGAUCUGCGAUGGUGACUGUGCCUUUGGUGAGUUUCUAAUUUUUUUUUUNNNNNNNNNNNNNNNNNNNNNNNNNNCAGAUCUUGCGAUGGGGUGGAGAAAAAGAGUGUGAUGCGAUGGAGAUUGUUUCUGCGCAGAUCCGGGUUGCGCAGGAUGAGUAUCCGCGGAUUCCGGGUUGUGUAUUCUCCCCAACGCGUGUCAAGAUCUGGUCCUGAAAGAAAAAUAAAUUAAUAAAAUCAAUUCAUAUCUGGUCCUGAAAGAAAAUAAAUGAGUGAAAUCAAUUCCCUAGCAACGGCGCCAAUUUUUGACUCGCGGUUGUCGAAGCCGGUCAAAAAUAACCUUUCUGGUUAUCAACAAUUUUGCAAUUGCAGAUAGUGGUGAAAAGAUCGAAUUCACAGGGAAUUGAGAACUCACCUAUUUCUCUUUUUAUGACCAAGAAAAUAAACUGGAACAAUAAUAAACUAAAAAUGAGAUAAAAAAUUGAAAGUGGGAUCAAAUGAGAUAAACUGAAAACUGGGAUCAAAACUGUCUACAAAAUAACAGGGGGGAUUUGAGAUUGAUUGUAGUAAACUAAUAAUGAGAAAAAUAAUGGAAAGCAAAUAAUUAAAUAAAAAAUAAUCAAUAAUGAGAAAACUCUAGUUGAAGUAUUGGAUCCACUUUAAUUGUUGGAAUUGAUCACAGACACUUUGUUCUUUUGGGUUGAUUCAAUAGAUUAGUUAUGGAGAUGGAAGACGCUUCUCACCACCAUUAUCUCUCUUUAUUAUUAAAUUAAUUAGGAAACGUCCUCUAAUUAAUUACUAAUUAACAAAUUGCCAAGGAACGUCCUUGGGUCUUAGACAUCAAAACAAUUGUCAAUUGCAUUAAGAAAUAGAGAGAUCCAAUCCUAACUACCCAAACGUAUGGAGAUAACGCUAGAUCAUGCGAUUUCCUUGGAUUUUAUCUCAAGUGUUCUCAUGUAAGAAUAAUCUAAGCAAUUACGGACUUAAAUUAUUCAAACUAACAAAUAAUUAUUUUGCAAUAAAAAAUCAACGUAGAUCUCAAUAACAAAAUAAUAUAAAAAUUAAAUAUAAAAUUGCAUGAAUAUUAAACCCCAAAAGUUAAACAAUAUUUGAUCAAGUCUCACAAUCCAUUAAACAAUUAAAACUUCAACCAAUAUCCAACUAGAUUAAAGAAAUCAGCCACUCAUUGGCUGAAUUAAAAACAGAAAAAUAAAAUAAAAAAGAAAAAAAAGAAGAACCGAAUUCUUACUUGUGGAAUCUGCCGAAUUGGAAUUGUAUGAUCAAUGUCUGGCCGCUUAAAGCUCUUUAAAUAGAGCUGGAGAGAUGCACUAAUUUGGAAAUUGCUUUCACGUGAGUUGCUGUCCCAUGUGCGGUCCACGGUAAAGUGAUGAAGCGCGGCCCAUGUUGCAAGUGAUUGUGCGUGAAGUGGGAGCGUGCCUUGGGCGGGCCCGUGUGCGUGGGUUGCUUUGCAAGAGUGGAUUGCCACGUGUGGAGUGCUGGUCAUGUUGAAGUGGCUUUGGUCCACGGUGAAUGGAGAUUGCAAUGGCGGGCCCACGUGAGAAUUGCUGGCCAUGUUCGUGAAUGUGCAGGAGAAUUUGCGGGCCAUGUGAAGCGUCAGUGGUUCACGUGCUUAGUCCACGGUGGAGCGCGUUGGUCCCGUGUGUGAGCUUCGCAAGAGUGGGCUGCCCAAGUGCGGGCUUGGUCCACGUGAAGUGGGCUGUCCAUGUGCGGAAAUGGCGAGAAUGGGCUGUCCAGGUGCUUGUUUUGAAUCCAACUUGACAGGCUUGCUCUCUUUUGUUCCAAAUAAGGCAGUUUUAGGGAGAUUUUC